CUAAGAAUCUUGCGCAAUGGGCGAAAGCCUGACGCAGCAAUUCCGCGUGGGGGACGAAGGCCCUCGGGUCGUAAACCCCUUUUGCGAGGGAAGAAGUUCUGACGGUACCUCGCGAAUAAGACACGGCUAACUACGUGCCAGCAGCCGCGGUAAUACGUAGGUGUCGAGCGUUGUCCGGAUUUAUUGGGCGUAAAGAGCCCGCAGGCGGCUUGCCAAGUUCGAGGUGAAAUCUCCCGGCUCAACCGGGAGGGUGCCUCGAAAACUGGCAGGCUUGAGGCAGGGAGGGGGAUGUGGAAUUCCCGGUGUAGUGGUGAAAUGCGUAGAUAUCGGGAGGAACACCAGUGGCGAAGGCGGCAUCCUGGCCCUGUCCUGACGCUCAGGGGCGAAAGCGUGGGGAGCAAACCG
rnacentral:rRNA from 1 species